AAUAAUUUUAGCCAAUCAUCCACGAUAUAUCGCCUAUUCCGUGUGAUGUAUUAAAUGAGUAUCUUGAGCACGUUUAUUCGUAAAUAUUCAAAAAUGGCCGACCCAGCGAGAGUUGUUAAGUUUUACGAUAUGCUUAAGUACAUUCAUGAGCCUACAAAAGUGAUCAUCGAUGUACGUAAUCCAGAUGAAUUUAAAGAUGGGAACAUUCCGACUAGUAGAAAUAUACCAGUGGGAGUUAUACGUGACGCUCUUUCUAUGACAGAGGAAGUCUUCAUGAAAACUUACCUAAACGAGAAACCUUUAGCAUCAACGGAGAUAAUAUUCUACUGUAAAUCAGGAAAACGAGCGACCAUGGCUAUGGAGCAUGCAUUAGAACUUGGGUAUUCAAAGUCUAAAGUGUACAUUGGGAGCUAUGAUGACUGGUCCACCCAUUAAUUACUACAAAUAUAAAUAUACAUUAUAGGAUUUAGCAGUUAUGGCGUUAUAAUUUAAUAUAAUUAAAAAAUAUAUUUAUGCAUUUAAUUUUACUGAACAUUAGAUGGUAAAUCAACUAUAGUAUAAUUAAUUCCCAACAUUGUUAACAAUAGACUAGAUAGUAGAAGUAUGUACAAUAGAAGCAGGUCAAACAGAAUUUUCGAAUUAUAUUCAAAAACCAAAUUCAAUACUACCAAACUAUUUAACAAUUAUUGUGAUGUCAAAUUUCACUGUGUUUUACUUGCCCAAUCUGUAUAACUUCCAAGAUAAUUCUUAGCGCUGAAAGACAAAAUUAAAUAUUUAAUGACAAUUCCUUAUCAAUUAAUACCAAUGUUAUAGAUAUACUGACUUUUUAUAACCAAGGUUGAUAGCAUUCUGCUGAGCCAUACCCGAUCUUUUGCCAAUCAUACAAUAAAAAAUUAUUUCAGUAUCA